AUCUGUUUAGAGAUGAAACCCCUGCAUCAAUCUGAAAUGAGGGUUUUGAGCCCUGUUUGGAUACCACCUGCAAUUGCCGGUUUGGUAGUCACCUAUGAUUUAGGUGACAAAUUGACUAGACCCCAAAACCCAAAUAUAUUUAGAUAUCUUUGUAGAGCUUUUAUACAGUUUUGACAUAAGUGCAAACUCUCCCUAGAAAAUGUACUAGAAAUUACAAAAAAAGGGCUAACUUAUCAAAAAGCAAGACCCAUGGAGGAAGCAAAUGAAAAUGGGUCUAGACUAAUGUGAUAGUCCAUGACAAUUUAUAAAAUGGUGGUGAAUCUUUGAUUGUAGACAUGGGAUAGUCGUUCUGCAAUCCAGACCCUCCAAAUUGAUGACCUAAUUGUCGAUGGGGCAUAACCCAAAUAUGAAAUUGAGAAGACAGUUGAGACCAUCUGAUUUUUUCCUUAGAAUUGGACCAUCCAUUUGAUAGCCAUCGAUUGGAUGGUUUGGAUUGUUUGGUCAGUCUGAUUUUAGAGACUGAUGCUCCAUUUUAGGAUUACUUGAUAACCACCAUUUUAAAUAUGGUAGUGAUUCUUCACCUUAAUCAUGGCUUUUGUUAUGUGGGGUCUUGGGUAAUGAUAGUAAUUGGAAAAAGAGCAGCACAUAUUAUGUUUUGACCUCUUACCUGCAACCUUUGCUACUGUGGACUGGAGCAAUACUCAUUUGUAGGGUGCUAGAUCUAGUAACUCUACCAUCAGAGGCAAGCCAAGCUGUUAAGCAACGACUUAUGAAUUUUGUAAGAUCAUUAUCAACUGUGAUGGCCUUUGCAUAUUGUCUAUCAAGGUUGUUGAGACGGCGGUCGCUUUACAGGAGGCUAGAUGUUUCACAGUCAUUCUGGAAUGUUUGCCUGCACUUGUAGCUGCAGCUGCAACCUCAGGAAGGCAUUGGAGCUGGCCCUUUCUGUAGCGGCCAGAUAAGGCAAUAAGGAUCUCCGUUCUUAACAGAGCUAAGGCAGAGAUUGCUGCUUCCUUAGGUUGAGGCUGCAUUGGCUGGGACUCCAUACAACGUGCCCGUAAUAAACUCCCUUGUGCUUUACGUAGGAAUGUAGGAAAUGGUGAAGGGUGGGAAGCUAAUCUUCUCAUUUGAUGCAACAAAGAAAGCUUGCUUUGGAGUACUCCCACGAUAUGCAAAAGAUGAGCUUCAAAUUAGAUGGUUUGAGCUCCCAAAUUGCUUUAUCUUCCAUAAUGGUGAGUUUUUUUUCCCCUUUAACAGACCAACAACAAUGUCUCGGGAAACAUUUCAAGCUUACUAUGCCUAAUGUGCAUUUUGCAUCAUAAUCCUAUAUGCCAUAUCAAGCAGGGUUAAUUGGCCUAGGCACCAAGGGGUCCCAGAUGUGUGUUUGUGUUUCUAGUCUUUUGUAGCAUGCUCCCAUUCUUCAAUCUUGAUCAUUAGUGGGGAGACUUUUCUUUUUCACUCAAUUACCAAUUAACUUCAGUUUCUAUAGUUAUUUAUAUUCUUAGGUGGGAAGCGC